rnacentral:SRP_RNA from 1 species
GCCAGGUGUGGUGGCGCACGCCUGUAAUCCCAGCUACUCAGGAGGCUGAGGCAGAAGAAUCACUUGAACCCGGGAGGCGGAGGCAGUGAGCUGAGAUUGUGCCACUGCACUCCAGCCUGGGUGACAGAGUGAGACUCUGUCUCAA